AUCCUUGCGCUUGGGGCAAAGACGCAGCCAGUGAAGUCAAAAUCGAGACACGUCAGUUCCUGGUUGAGAACUAUUUCCAAACCCCCUCCUCGGCUUAGGCUUUGCUUUGGCCGUCGAGAAUAUUUGGAAGGACUCCCUUCUUGAAGGGUUAAGUC